GCUGCUACAAGUGCUGGAGAAUCGUUUAUUCCAUCGCCUACCAUUGCCACCACAUAGCCUGAGGCCUGUAACUCCUUCACUUUCUCUGCUUUCUGCUCAGGUUUGGUUUCUGCCAUGACAGUUUCAAUCCCAACUUCCCUAGCAAUGGAAUUGGCAGUUCCCCAAUUGUCGCCUGUCACCAUUAUGCUCCUGACUUUCAUAGACUUGAGAGUGGAAAUGACUUCACGUGCUCCUGGUUUCAGUGGAUCAGAUAUGGCUAGUACGCCAGUGACUUCUUGAUCUAUAGAUAUUAAAAUCCCAGUUUGAGCCAUCUCUUCAAUUUCUGCAAGCAUCUCUUCAGCAUCAGCUGGAAUGGCAAUGUUGUGAUCGAGCAUUAAACUUCUG
rnacentral:misc_RNA from 1 species